UUAUUUGAGAGUUUGAUCCUGGCUCAGGAUGAACGCUGGCGGCGUGCUUAACACAUGCAAGUCGAGCGAAGCAUUUUAAAUGAAGUUUUCGGACGGAAUUUAAAAUGA
rnacentral:ncRNA from 1 species